rnacentral:rRNA from 1 species
CUCUAACACUUUCAAUGAGGGGACAUAUAUGUUUUAAGAAUAUUGUGUAAUAUACAGGCCUCAAUUUGCAAAUAUUUCUCUUUUUAGUGAUUAAUAUAUUUUUGCAAUUCUUUAUCCCUUGGGUUUGCUUCUGAUUAGCUAGUUGGUGAGGCAAUAGCUUAUCAAGGCAAUGAUCAGUAGCUGGUUCGAGAGGAUGAUCAACCACACUGGGACUGAGACACGGCCCAGACUCCUACGGAAAGCAGGAGUGGGAAGUUUUCUGCAAUGGGCGAAAACCUGACGGAG